GGUUUAAGUGUGCAGAGUUUAGCUCCCUCAGGCCUGACAUUUUGCAAAAGCUGUGGCUGUGAUUUAGGUCAGCUGAGGCAAACCUCAGCUAGGAGGAGGAAAAGUUCUCUUCCCCUUAUCACAAGCAACAAGUUCUGCAUGGUUUGGCCAAGAGGAAGAAGCUUCCUGCAUACUUAUCCUGGGAACAGUACAUUCUGAAGAAACAAAUGCAUCCUCAGAGGACUAGAUAAUGUCUACAAAGAACUUUAGGAGGGUACUUAUCAAACAAACAGGAACAAUUUGAAUCUAGCUCUGUGUAUCCUCUGAGGCAUGAUAUUUGGACAAUGUGGGUAAAGUGUUAUUGAAGAAUUGCUUGCUUUGUUAGAAGAAGUGUAUAAAAGGAACUUGCAAAUAAACUUCAGCAUGCAGUUGCGAUUGCUGCCUUGGCUCUGCAUCCCCUGUGUCCUGGUUAUUUAGCGACCCUUACCCAGGGACCCGAACGCUCUAGACGUUCACAAUUGGCACUGGAAUAGGGACCCUGCUGGAUUGAUAGGAAGGAAUCCCGCCAAAAGAGAGAUGGAAUGAAACCAUUCGGAACGACAAAUUGAUGGCCUGGGGUGAUGGCAGAAUUGCUGAUCCACGCUUGGCUUCAAUGCAGUACCCUCAUCAUUUACAAACACAUUUAUGGAAAAUUGCUGCUGCAACUAAACCUGUAAUUUUGUCUAAUGGCUCUUUCUCUGGGACUAGUCAAUCUGCUGCUUCUUAUAAUUUUACUGUAUUUAAAGAAUAUAAUAUAACCACAUGUGUGCCCAUGCCAUACCUGUUCUUAAUUGGAAAUGUUACUUUUGAUGAGGGAAUUUUAUGCUUUAAUUGUAAAUUGUAUACCUGUAUUAAUACAUCUGUUUCUAUUCCUCCUGGUUAUUCCAUUGUGCUGUUACAACAGCGCUCUCACAUUUGGCUUCCUGUAAAUUUACAAAGAACAUGGUCCCAAGAUCCUGUAAAUACUUUGGUUCUGGAAUUUUUUAGACAAUUGUUAAAACGUACUAAACGUUUUGUAGGAGUUGUUGUUGCUGUAAUUCUAAGUCUUAUUGCAGUGACUACAGUCGCUACAGUUUCAGGGAUAGCUUUACAUACUUCUUUACAAACAAAACAUUUUGUUGAGGAAUGGCAUAAAGAUUCGCAUGAGUUAUGGCUAUCCCAGACUCAAAUUGAUUCUAGACUUCAAACUCAAAUAGAUAUUUUAAGACAGACAGUUAAUUGGUUAGGAAAAAAGAUACUCACCUUAGAACAAGAAAUUGGAUUAAAAUGUGACUGGAUGGGGCUGGGGAUGUGGCUCAAGCGGUAGCACGCUCACCUGGCAUGCGUGCGGCCCGGGUUCGAUCCUCAGCACCACAUACAAACAACGAUGUUGUGUCUGCCGAAAAACUAAAAAAUAAAUAUUAAAAUUCUCUCUCUCUUUAAAAAAAAAUUAAAAAAAAAAGUGACUGGAAUUCAACUUCUUUCUGUAUAACUAAUAUACAAUAUAAUCAAAGCUUACACGAAUGGAAUAUCAUACAAAAUUAUCUCAAUGGUAAUGAAACAGCUCAAUUAAUGAUCGAUUCUUUACAAAAGGAUAUAUUUGAAAUUUUUGGAAAAGGGUUUCAACAUGAUGAUGCUGCACAAAUAGCUGAAUUGUUUUUAAAACAGUUAGAAGGAUUAAAUCCCAAAGGAAUUGCUCAAAGUCUUACCCAUAUGGCUGGAGGAGUGGGAAUAGUGUUAUGCUUAGUUAUUAUCCUGUUUAUAUAUUGUAUGUGCAUAAGACCAUCUCAAAACGCUAUAUUAACUUUGUGGAAAGCUGUUUUAGAAAAGCAAAAUUAAAAAGAAGGAAUUGUUGGGGUUUAAGUGUGCAGAGUUUAGCUCCCUCAGGCCUGACAUUUUGCAAAAGCUGUGGCUGUGAUUUAGGUCAGCUGAGGCAAAUCUCAGCUAGGAGGAGGAAAAGUUCUCUUCCCCUUAUCACAAGUAACAAGUUCUGCAUGGUUUGGCCAAGAGGAAGAUGCUUCCUGCAUACUUAUCCUGGGAACAGUACAUUCUGAAGAAACAAAUGCAUCCUCAGAGGACUAGAUAAUGUCUACAAAGAACUUUAGGAGGGUACUUAUCAAACAAACAGGAACAAUUUGAAUCUAGCUCUGUGUAUCCUCUGAGGCAUGAUAUUUGGACAAUGUGGGUAAAGUGUUAUUGAAGAAUUGCUUGCUUUGUUAGAAGAAGUGUAUAAAAGGAACUUGCAAAUAAACUUCAGCAUGCAGUUGCGAUUGCUGCCUUGGCUCUGCA